rnacentral:rRNA from 1 species
AUGCGGGGGAGGACCAACAGGGAUUACCUCAGUAACGGCGAGUGAAGCGGUAACAGCUCAAAUUUGAAAUCUGGCCUCACGGUCCGAGUUGUAAUUUGUAGAGGAUGCUUCGAGCAUGGUCUGGCCUAAGUUCCUUGGAACAGGACGUCAUAGAGGGUGAGAAUCCCGUAUGCGGCCAGGUGCCUACGCUCAUGUGAAGCUCCUUCGACGAGUCGAGUUGUUUGGGAAUGCAGCUCAAAAUGGGUGGUAAAUUUCAUCUAAAGCUAAAUAUUGGCCAGAGACCGAUAGCGCACAAGUAGAAGAGUUAAACAGUACGUGAAAUUGUUGAAAGGGAAGCGCUUGCAACCAGACUUGCGCGCGGCCGAUCAUCCGGUGUUCUCACCGGUGCACUCGGCCGUGCUCAGGCCAGCAUCGGUUUUGGCGGCUGGAUAAAGGCCCUAGGAAUGUAGCUCCUCUCGGGGAGUGUUAUAGCCUAGGGUGCAAUGCAGCCUGCUGGGACCGAGGACCGCGCUUCGGCUAGGAUGCUGGCGUAAUGGUUGUAAGCGGCCCGUCUUGAAACACGGACCAAGGAGUCUAACAUCUAUGCGAGUGUUUGGGUGUCAAACCCAUACGCGUAAUGAAAGUGAACGGAGGUGAGAACCCUUAAGGGUGCAUCAUCGACCGGUCCUGAAGUUUACGGAAGGAUCUGAGUAAGAGCAUAGCUGUUGGGACCCGAAAGAUGGUGAACUAUGCCUGAAUAGGGUGAAGCCAGGAGGAAACUCUGGUGGAGGCUCGCAGCGGUUCUGACGUGCAAAUCGAUCGUCAAUUUGGG